rnacentral:rRNA from 1 species
UGGUGGAGUGAUUUGUCUGCUUAAUUGCGUUAACGAACGAGACCUUAGCCUGCUAAAUAGAUAUGGGAAGUUUGCUUCCUACUAUCUUCUUAGAGGGACUUCGUGUGUUUAGCACGAGGAAGUUUGAGGCAAUAACA